ACCGACGACGGAGAUUACAACGUCAAGCUUCGUAAUCUCGUGCGCUUUCUCGAAGACGGCGACAAGACGAAAAUCACGUUGCGUUUCCGUGGUCGCGAAAUGGCUCACCAGGAAAUCGGUAUGCGCAUGCUGGAGCGUCUGCGCACCGACCUCGACGAAGUCGGUCAGGUCGAGCAGAUGCCCAAGAUGGAAGGGCGCCAGAUGAUCAUGGUGCUGUCGCCGAAGAAAAAGAAGUAAGCCGCAAGCGGGUGCAUCGUGUGAUGUGCCCGGCGGUUGUGAAAAGUAGUUGUGGAAAAAUCAGGCUUCUCGUCAGGUGACGGGAA
rnacentral:misc_RNA from 1 species